UACGGAGGAUGCGAGCGUUAUCCGGAUUUAUUGGGUUUAAAGGGUGCGCAGGCGGCUGGUCAAGUCAGCGGUAAAAAUUCCAUGCUCAACAUGGUCGUGCCGUUGAAACUGGCCUGGCUUGAGUGCGUUGGACGCCGGCGGAAUGCGUGGUGUAGCGGUGAAAUGCAUAGAUAUCACGCAGAACUCCGAUUGCGAAGGCAGCCGGCGACGUCGCAACUGACGCUCAUGCACGAAAGCGUGGGUAU
rnacentral:rRNA from 1 species